UCUUACUUGAAUUAAUGUCAAUAAUGACUAAAAUAUUGCUAAUAUGAUUAUCCUGAUUAAGCUCGAGGCUGCUGCAUAGUAUUUACUCUUUCUGUUUCAAUUUGUUUGUCUUAUUUUCCUUUUUAGUUCGUCUGAAAAAGAAUGCCUCUUUACUUUUUUUUUGACAACUCUUUGAUUCUAACUUUUCACAUGACAUGUUUAAGACCAUAAGAUUAAAGGACAUGUUGAUACAUUUUACAUAUCUUUAGUUUAAUACCACAAGAUUCAGAAGUCUUUUUUACUUUCUUAAACUCCGUGCCAAGUUAAAAUCAAACAAACAAAAUGAAACGGAGGGAGUAGUACUUAAAGGUUCAGUAUCGAUACAGGAAACACAGCUUUUGACAUAUACUUUCUGCACAUGACCAUAGCAUACACAGAAUGUUGUGUGGUGGCGAAACGUUUAUCAUGUUUAGACAACUGGUUCCUUAAAUCACCAAAACUUUCAUUAAGCCUUUUGAAGAAUCAGGUAAAUUUGUUGCAUUGUAUGUACUACAGCCUUCGUCUAACAGGUUGGUUUGUGGAUCGGAAACAACUGGCUUCUGCAUCGCUAAACAACAGUUAAACGCCACUGUGAACAACCAGCUCCACCACCAGACGUACUUAGCCAUGUCUGAGAAUUUGAUCCACAGAAAUUUUGGUUAUAAUGCAAUUGAAAUGACUAAAGGUUUGAAGGGUAGAUAUUUAUUCCAUGUGUUUGGGCAGGGUCAGAACCAGAUAGAGGCUAGGAGGUUCAUCUGACCCCCUUCGACAGAAAAUUACCCUGUUUAUAUAUGAUUUAGAUUAUUGUUAUGUAUAAAUAGUAGAUGUUGAACCCCCCUUUAACGUCUUCGUGUGUUAACUGUUCAUAUUUUGAUCCCCUCGGUGAAGACUUUGGCUCGGCCACUGUGUUUUGGGAAAAAGGAUCAUCUAGCCGGAAGUCUCGACUCGAACUUGGAGCAAGGUAUGUGCAAACCUUACCCUACCUCGUAAAGUUAGAGAAGUUGUUUCCCAUACACCCUCGGCUCAAGUAACACAUCUCAAAGCAGUUUGAGAAAAGGAAUACAGAAAUGAAAGCAGUAACAACAACGAACUAAAGCAAAAUAAUAUUUGUUUUGGAGACUUUCUUGGUAAGACUAUGAAGAUAUAUUACUCCCAUGUAGUUCCAUUUUAAUAGAGGAUUACACAAUACUUUCUAUAUUCCAGUUAA